GGUUAUUUGUUUUCUUCCUACUGAGUUGUUUGAGUUUCUUAUCUACACUUUAGAUCAUAACAACCCCUUCUCAGAUACAUGGUUUGCAAAUGUAUUCUCUCACUCUGUGGAGUCUCACUCUGUAGCCCAAGCUGGAGUGGCGUGAUCUCGACUCACUGCAACCUCCGCCUCCUGGGAUCAAGUGAUUCUCGUGCCUCAGCCUCCUGAGUAGCCGGGACUACAGAUGUCUGUCCCGGGCUCCAGUUUUGUGGUUCCACCUGAGACCUUUCCACCUAUAUGCUUUACAGGUCACAGAAUUUUCCACACUCCUUGACAGAGGUGCUUAACCCUUAUCCAUCAGCAUUCUCAGACAGCACCUCCGGUUAGGGACAGUAUCUGACCGUCCGACAUCCCUGCAGCCCCCAUGUGUCACACAGACUCAGCCUCAGGUAGAUGGUUUCCGUAGAUGGUGGCUUUCUUUGGACCCUUGACAUCAACCAGUUACUAUUUGGUCUAGGGGUCUCACCAACGCUGCUCAUCUAGCAGGGCCACACAUAACAAAUAGAAGCAGAGCAAGCCCUGGAACUCCUGCCUGACAGUGACACGACGACAGAAACAUCUUACCAGUCAGAGGACCAUGAGAAAUAGAUUCAAGGAGCAUUCCACGUGCAAGUGAGUCUUGGCCCCAUCUGCCUUUGGAUUUUAGCCGUGAACUGGAAGGUAUUGGAAAGAAGACCCUCAGAAAUAGCUUAAUCAAAAUCCCUGCGUCUGAACCAAGUGCCUUAUUUCUCUGUGGGCCUCAAGCUUCGCUGACAUCUGUGGAGCACACUGUCCUAACAGGAGUGCUGUCUGAUUUCCCAACGCUCUGCAAAACAAACAGCCUGGAAGGGUGGCUGGUGGAAGGUGGUUUUUAGAGAGAGACUUGUAGAUAACAGGAAAGUGAAGGCUGUAAGGAAGGUUGUAAUUAAACAGCACAUGGAAACACAAUCACAUUAUUGUCCCAUUCCAUAGGGAUAAUGAUGACCACUUCAGUGGGAAAAGGAGAGGUUUUAAGUCAUUAGGGACUAUGGGCCACCUUUUAGGAAGAUUUAUUUUCAAAGGUUAAAAUAGUGUUUUGGCAAUUCAAGUUUCAUUUUCAGAAAAUGUAAUUGAUGGGAACCUCAGUGACUCUGGAUGAAUAAGAUGCUGUUGAGUGGCUCUGACUUGGGCCAGCCGUGCUUCUCACAGGACCUUGGAGACCAAGGUCACUGUGAUCUCAGGUUCAGGGGGCAAGUCCUCUCCACACAGCCCUAGUUGGCCUCACAGCUGAAAAUGUCUCCCUUACUGUUGGACUCCUUUGUUCACCCACAUGAGUUUGUGAAUAAAUCCUUUCCAGUC
rnacentral:lncRNA from 1 species